CGGGAGCCAAUGCUUUGCUAAAGCUGGUAAAAUGGAACCAAAUCGACUCUGCAAUGGAUUUGGUCCCCUUCAACCAGCUGUAGCUGCGCAUUGACCACACCG
ensembl:miRNA